CGUACACUCCUGCGGGAGGCAGCAGUGGGGAAUUUUAGACAAUGGGCGAAAGCCUGAUCCAGCCAUGCCGCGUGCAGGAUGAAGGCCUUCGGGUUGUAAACUGCUUUUGUACGGAACGAAACGGCCUUUUCUAAUAAAGAGGGCUAAUGACGGUACCGUAAGAAUAAGCACCGGCUAACUACGUGCCAGCAGCCGCGGUAAUACGUAGGGUGCAAGCGUUAAUCGGAAUUACUGGGCGUAAAGCGUGCGCAGGCGGUUAUGUAAGACAGUUGUGAAAUCCCCGGGCUCAACCUGGGAACUGCAUCUGUGACUGCAUAGCUAGAGUACGGUAGAGGGGGAUGGAAUUCCGCGUGUAGCAGUGAAAUGCGUAGAUAUGCGGAGGAACACCGAUGGCGAAGGCAAUCCCCUGGACCUGUACUGACGCUCAUGCACGAAAGCGUGGGGAGCAAACAGGAUUAGAAACCCCAGUAGUCCCAUGAU
rnacentral:rRNA from 1 species